rnacentral:rRNA from 1 species
UACGUAGGUGGCAAGCGUUGUCCGGAAUUAUUGGGCGUAAAGCGCGCGCAGGCGGUCCUUUAAGUCUGAUGUGAAAGCCCACGGCUCAACCGUGGAGGGUCAUUGGAAACUGGGGGACUUGAGUACAGAAGAGAAGAGUGGAAUUCCACGUGUAGCGGUGAAAUGCGUAGAGAUGUGGAGGAACACCAGUGGCGAAGGCAGCUCGCUGGGACGUUACUGACACUGAGGCGCGAAAGCGUGGGGAGCGAACAGG